rnacentral:rRNA from 1 species
UACGUAGGGUGCGAGCGUUAAUCGGAAUUACUGGGCGUAAAGCGUGCGCAGGCGGUGAGCCAAGCCAGGCGUGAAAGCCCCGGGCUUAACCUGGGAAUGGCGCUUGGGACUGGCCCACUGGAGUGCGGCAGAGGGAACUGGAAUUCCUGGUGUAGCAGUGAAAUGCGUAGAGAUCAGGAGGAACACCAAUGGCGAAGGCAGGUUCCUGGGCCAGCACUGACGCUCAGGCACGAAAGCGUGGGGAGCAAACAGG